rnacentral:lncRNA from 1 species
CAAAUGGAUUCUACCUCUUUAAGGUUUUAAUGAUAAGGAGGGGAAUAAGAGGCUCCCUCCCUUUUCGAAUGUAACUUUGUUGAGGCCCCGAUAAUAAAUCAUUUGUUCCCUCUAAAUGCACUCUGGCAUUCACACAGGCACACACUCUGAUGGUUCCCACUUGAAAUUGCUCAUCAAGUGCAAAUAGCUCCCAGCCUGGAUGGCUGAGCUGCUCUCCAGCCUCCUCUCUCUGGAGUAAGAAGAUUUCAGCUUGUGACCUGCCCUCGGGACUUGUGGGUGUACAAAGCCUGUGACCCAGGAAACAAAGUCAACGGCUCACUUUGUCCCCACCCCACCCUACCCCGUCUCCCUCCUACUAAAUGCUGAAUCUCACGAGAGAAGAAAACCAGCCACAUAAAGGAUUUGAAAGCUCAACUUGCUUUCCCACUCUGUUAUCCCUGGAGUUGGCUUGGAUUCACCCUGAAGCCUUCCCCCUCCCGGGGAAAGUUGCUUCACGUUGCAGCUCAGCAGGUUUGUCCAGCUACAUAGGCUCCAGAAAACAAGAAGCAAGACUGGAAAGCUGGGGAUGAUUGUACGCCCUCGCCUGAAUCUUACGUGGUUCCUCCUUCUUCCACCUGGCCAGUGCAGAGCCGUGGGUGCCACGUGGCCACUUCUGGAUUGGGUUCCCCUUGGCCUGCCACCCUGUCCUUCUGCUUUCCCACUUUGCCAGCCAGAGUCAAUUUGAGGACGCCAAGUUCUCCUCUCCAUACAGAGCUCCUGGUCUCCUUGUAACUUGUAACUCCUGGGCACAGUUACAAGUGCUGAAUUCUUGCGAGGAUGAACUCAAGAUACAAAAUAUGCUUGGCAACUCACCCCUGAGUGGCCACAGGCACACGCAGGAGUCGAACCCACCCACCUCUGCUGACAGUCAUGGGUCAAGCUCAAAGUCCUGGCUGCUUCUCUGCUCAAGAUAGUGUCUCACUAUGUUGCCCAGGUUGGAUUCGAACUCCUGUGCUCAAAUGAUCUUCCCCUACCUCCAGGAAAUUGCCACAGCCUCCGUAACCUUCAGCAGCCACCAUCCUGAUCAGUUAGCAGCCAUCAUCAAGACAAGACCCUUCCCCAGCAUAAACAUUACGGCUUGCUGAAGACUUAGAUCAUAGUUAGCAUUUUUAAGCAAUCAAGUGUUUUAAAAUUAAGGCGGGGUUUCACCAUGUUGGCCAGGCUGGUCUAGAACUCCUGAUCUCAAGAGAUCCACCCACCUCGGCCUCCCAAAGUGCUGGGAUUACCUGCAUGAGCCACUGCACCUGGCUUCAGCCCUUUGUUUUAUCCAAGAGAAGGUCAAGAGCAGAUAAAUUGGAUCUGUGCCCGCAGAGAGAGCCUGCUCCAGCCUCUUUGCUACAGCCUUGAGUCUUCUGCUAAGAAAAGACACAGAGGCAAAGAGAAACACAUAGAGAGGAGAAUGCCUCGUGAAAAUGGAGACCGAGAUUGGUGCAAUGUGUCCACAAGCCAGGGAAUGCCAACGUGGCCAGCAACCACCAGAAGCUGGGAGAGAGGCAUGGAACAGAGUCCUCGGAGCCUCCAGAAGGAACCAACCCUGUUGAUACCUUGACUGAAAACUUCCAGCCUCCAGAACUGUGACAGAAUUAAUUUCUGUUAUUUAAAGCCAUUCAGUCUGUGGUAAUUUGUUACAUCAGCCCUGAAUAGCAAAUACAGAUGACCCAGGUUUAAAUCCUAGUUCUGCCACUUAUGAGCGUGGGUACAUAACUACUUUCUAGAGCCCCGGUUUCCUCAUCUGUAAAAAACCUCAUACGGUUAUUAAGAAGAUCAAAUGAGAUACAAACAUAAAUUCUUAACAGUGCUGGCAUGUUAAUUGUUCAAUAAAUAUGAGUUAUUUACAACAAUUGUGAUAGUAAUGAGUAACACAGAGAAAUGAGAAUUGACUUAACAGAGGCUGGCUCGGCAAGCCUCUAUGCCAACAAAAUUUAUUUGGAAAUCAAAAGUAUUUACUUCAGACUGGGCGCAGUGGCUCACACCUGUAAUCCCUGCACUUGAGGUCAGGAGUUGGAAACCAGCCUGGCCAACAUGGUGAAACCUCAUCUUUACUAAGGGAGGAGACCACCCCUCAUAUUGUCUGCAUAUGCCCAGUUUCUGCCUCCAAAGAAAGAAGAAGUAAAAACUAAAAGGCAGAAAUGAAGUCCACAGGCAGACAGCCCGGUGCCACACCCUGGGCUUGGUAGUUAAAGAUCGACCCCUGACCUAAUCAGUUAUGUUAUCUAUAGAUUACAGGCAUUGUAUAGAAAAGCACUGUGAAAAUCCCUGUCCUGUUCUGUUCUGUUAUAAUUACUGGUGUAUGCAGCCCCCAGUCACGUACCCUCUACUUGCUCAAUCGAUCACGACCCUCUCACGCAGACCCCCUUAGAGUUGUGAGCCCUUAAAAGGGACAGGAAUUGCUCACUCGGGGAGCUCGGUUUUUGGAGACGUGAGUCUUGCCGAAGCUCCCGGCUGAAUAAAGCC